rnacentral:misc_RNA from 1 species
AAGUCGUAACAAGGUUUCCGUAGGUGAACCUGCGGAAGGAUCAUUAUAAAAUUUUUCUACAUAUUUUUAAAAUAUGUUAAAAAAAUAAAAUUCUGUAUUCAAAACCCACACUCUUUUUAAACCCAUAUAAAAAAAUUAUGUUCAUAUAUAUACAUAAUUUUUUUAUAUAAAAAAAUAUAUAUAUAAUUAAAAGACAACUUUCAACAACGGAUCUCUUGGCUCUC